rnacentral:lncRNA from 1 species
AUGAAGAGUUUAUAGUAGUAGUAUGGACUAACCACUACUUUACAGUUCAAACACUAUACAAAUACAUGAAUUUGCAAGUCUAAAGCUAAGGGUAAUGGUUAAGUUGUCGCAGUCCAGCUUGCCAACGUUUACAGUUUCUGCCGCGAAUGUGAAUUAGCAACGCAACCUCUCGGCAGAACUGGUUCUCCUCGAAUGCUUUCCCUUCAAAUAUUUACAGUUUCUGUCCCGAAUGUGAAUAAGCAACGUAACCUCUCGGCAGAACUGGUUCUCCUCUAAUGCUUUCCCUU